rnacentral:ncRNA from 1 species
AGAGGUCCGGGGAAGUAACUCCUCGACCUAUUCUCAAACUUUAAAUGGGCAAGAUCCAGUAGUUACUUAAUUGAACUAUUGGGGUCAAUGAGACGACUCUAAGUGGGCCAUUUUUGGUAAGCAGAACUGGCGAUGAGGGAUGAACCUAACGCUCGGUUAAGGUGCUAAACUGCUCGCUCAUCAGAUACCACAAAGGGUGUUGGUCGAUCUUAACAGCAGGACGGUGGUCAUGGAAGUCGAAAUCCGCUAAGGAGUGUGUAACAACUCACCUGCCGAAUCGACUAGCCCCGAAAAUGGAUAGCGCUGAAGCGAGUGACCGAUACCGGGCCAUUGUUGCAAGAUAAUUGGCAACAAUGAGUAGGAGGGCGUGGGGGUUGUGAAGAAGCUUGGACGUGAGUCUGAGUGAAACAGCUUCCAGUGCAGAUCUUGGUGGUAGUAGCAAGUAUUCAAUAAGAGAACAUUGAAGGCCGAAGUGGGGAAGGGUUCCAUGUGAACAGCACUUGGACAUGGGUUAGCCGAUCCUGAGAGACAGGUUAAAUUCCAUCGGAUUGGAGCUUUGGCUCUGUUUCUCGAAAGGGAAGCUGGUUAGUAUUCCAGCGCCGAGACGUGGAUAAUAUGUGGCAACACAAGUGAACUCGGACACGCCAUAGGGGACCCCAGGAAGCGUUGUCUUUUCUUUUUAACAGUUCGACUUACCCUGGAAUCAGAUCAUCUGGAGAUAGGGUUUUCGAACUGGAAUAGCACCUUGUCUAACAGGGUGUCUGGAGUGUUCUCGCUGGCCCUUGAAAAUCCGAGGGAUAGAUUUAUUCGCACUCUCGAUCGUACCCAUAACCGCAUCAGGUCUCCAAGGUUAGAAGCCUCUGGUCCGUAGGACAAAGUAGAUAAGGGAAGUCGGCAAAAUAGGUCCGUAACUUCGGGAAAAGGACUGGCUCUGAGGUUUGGUAUGUGGAACCUGGAUUAAUCGUUGGAGUCGAGCAGAGACUACUUGUU